AUUGAACGCUGGCGGCAUGCCUUACACAUGCAAGUCGAACGGUAACGGGUCCUUCGGGAUGCCGACGAGUGGCGAACGGGUGAGUAAUAUAUCGGAACGUGCCCAGUAGUGGGGGAUAACUGCUCGAAAGAGCAGCUAAUACCGCAUACGACCUGAGGGUGAAAGGGGGGGAUCGCAAGACCUCUCGCUAUUGGAGCGGCCGAUAUCAGAUUAGCUAGUUGGUGGGGUAAAGGCCUACCAAGGCAACGAUCUGUAGUUGGUCUGAGAGGACGACCAGCCACACUGGGACUGAGACACGGCCCAGACUCCUACGGGAGGCAGCAGUGGGGAAUUUUGGACAAUGGGCGCAAGCCUGAUCCAGCAAUGCCGCGUGCAGGAAGAAGGCCUUCGGGUUGUAAACUGCUUUUGUCAGGGAAGAAAUCUUCUGGGCUAAUACCCCGGGAGGAUGACGGUACCUGAAGAAUAAGCACCGGCUAACUACGUGCCAGCAGCCGCGGUAAUACGUAGGGUGCGAGCGUUAAUCGGAAUUACUGGGCGUAAAGCGUGCGCAGGCGGCUUUGCAAGACAGAUGUGAAAUCCCCGGGCUCAACCUGGGAACUGCAUUUGUGACUGCAAGGCUAGAGUACGGCAGAGGGGGAUGGAAUUCCGCGUGUAGCAGUGAAAUGCGUAGAUAUGCGGAGGAACACCAAUGGCGAAGGCAAUCCCCUGGGCCUGUACUGACGCUCAUGCACGAAAGCGUGGGGAGCAAACAGGAUUAGAUACCCUGGUAGUCCACGCCCUAAACGAUGUCAACUGGUUGUUGGACGGCUUGCUGUUCAGUAACGAAGCUAACGCGUGAAGUUGACCGCCUGGGGAGUACGGCCGCAAGGUUGAAACUCAAAGGACUUGACGGGGACCCGCACAAGCGGUGGAUGAUGUGGUUUAAUUCGAUGCAACGCGAAAAACCUUACCUACCCUUGACAUGUCAAGAAUUCUGCAGAGAUGUGGAAGUGCUCGAAAGAGAACUUGAACACAGGUGCUGCAUGGCCGUCGUCAGCUCGUGUCGUGAGAUGUUGGGUUAAGUCCCGCAACGAGCGCAACCCUUGUCAUUAGUUGCUACGCAAGAGCACUCUAAUGAGACUGCCGGUGACAAACCGGAGGAAGGUGGGGAUGACGUCAGGUCCUCAUGGCCCUUAUGGGUAGGGCUACACACGUCAUACAAUGGCCGGUACAGAGGGCUGCCAACCCGCGAGGGGGAGCCAAUCCCAGAAAACCGGUCGUAGUCCGGAUCGUAGUCUGCAACUCGACUGCGUGAAGUCGGAAUCGCUAGUAAUCGCGGAUCAGCUUGCCGCGGUGAAUACGUUCCCGGGUCU
rnacentral:rRNA from 1 species